GCAAGCUAUGGAAGCAGAGAAUCUCUGCUCUGGAACCUGGAGCACCUCCUUCCCCUCCUUCUGCACUGACCUGGGUGUCUUCAGAGCUGUUGCUCUCACUUAUUCUCAC